rnacentral:ncRNA from 1 species
AGUUGACACGGGAGCUGCCGUUGGGCGGCUGAGAGGAGACUCAUAGUCUCGACCGAUGGAACGUGACCGGAUAAUGCCGGCGCACGGAAAUGUCGCUCUUACCUA